GGCCCGCGAUAGCCAGCCGCCUUCCCGUGGCGCGGACCGUGAGUACCUUGUGGUCUUUUCCUAAGCUUUGUUGGCACCUUCUCGCGGUGCCCGCUGGGACAAAAGACCACAAGGGAAACUAGGAGCUGGC
rnacentral:ribozyme from 1 species